CAAGUAAAAGAAAUCAGAAAGCAAGGAUUUUUGAAGGUAUUUCGUUUCGAGUUUGAUUCUGUGGGAUUUUUGUUCUUUUUCUUUCUUUAUUUUCUGAUAUAAAAUAAAAACAAAAGAAGAAGGAAAGGGGACUUACCGUCGCGAGAGUCGUCGAAAGGCGUCCUCAUCUCAUCGUUUUCUGAUCGGAAAUGGGAGGGGAUUGGAACGACGGAGAAAGGGG
rnacentral:lncRNA from 1 species